CUUCACGGAGCCCAGCCAGAGCGGCCGGUCCGGGUCGCGCUCCUGGCCGUAGGUGGCGAUGAGGGCCUGGGCCUC
rnacentral:antisense_RNA from 1 species